UUCCUGCCGCUGUGUGCGUCCGACGACCGGCUUGUCCCGGGCAAGCCGCUCCGCGCUGGGACCACCAUCGUCUCCGACGGUGGUGACUUCGCCUUGGGAUUCUUCACCACGUCCAAUUCUACGUCAUAUCUCGGCAUAUGGUACAACGGCAUCUCAGAGCUAACCGCGGUAUGGGUCGCGAACCGUGAAACCCUGGUCAACAACAAUACCUUCUCCCGGCCGACCCUCUCCCUCACCAACACCUCAAAUCUUGUUCUGUCCAAUGGCAAUGGCACCGGCCGUGUCAUUUGGACGACGAACAACAUUGCUACUGCGCCGGGCUCAUCUCCCUCGACAGCCGUGCUGUUGAACACCGGCAACCUCGUCCUCCGCUCACCAAAUGGCACCAUGUUGUGGCAGAGCUUCGACCACCCAACUGACACGUUCCUCCCCGGCAUGAAGAUCGGGCUCAGAUACAAAACGCGAACCGGGGAUCGCCUGGUGUCCUGGAAGGGCCCCAACGACCCCUCUCCAGGGCGUUUCUCCUACGGCGGUGACCCGGCUACGUUCCUCCAGAUAUUCAUCUGGGAUGGAGCACGACCUGUGUACCGCAACAUCCCAUGGACAGGGUUCCGGGUGAAGAGCGAACACAAGUACCAGCAGGCGGAUCCAAACGCUAGCGCCAUCAUCGCCUACAUGGCUGUCGUCAAUACCGACGAGGAGAUCUACGUGACCUACAGCCUCUCCCACGGUGCUGCACGUACCAGGUAUGUACUGACCUACUCCGGCGAGUACCGACUCGAGAGUUGGAGCAGCAGGUUGUUGAAGUGGACUGUCCUCGCCAAGUGGCCACCCACCGACUGCACCCGCUACGGCUACUGUGGCUCGUAUGGGUACUGCGACGCUACGGCGGCGCCCGUACCGACGUGUAAGUGCCUCGACGGCUUCGAGCCGACGAGCAGGGAGGAAUGGGACGGUGGCAGGUUCUCAAAGGGGUGCCGACGAACGGUGCCAUUACGCGGGUGCGGCGACGGCUUCAUCACCAUGCCAUUGAUGAAGUCGCCGGACAGGUUCACGUUUAUCAGCGGGAACGAGAGCACAUUGGAGGAGUGUGCAGCGGAGUGCGGCCGUAAUUGCUCCGGUGUGGCAUACGCGUUCGCCAACUUGGGCAGCGCUAGGUCAGGAGGAGACAUGACGAGGUGCUUGGUGUGGGCCGGGGAGUUGGUUGACGGUGGGAAGAUAGGUGAAGUGCCUGGUGGGAACACGCUCUACCUUCGCCUCGCAGGCCUGGAAGCACUACAUGGACCAGGUCACGAAAGGAGCAAUGCAGCAGUGAUUGCAUUAGGAACAAGUGUUGUUAUUCUACUCACGUGCAUUUUCGUGGUAUGGUUAAAGUUCAAAGGCAAGAAAACAAAGCUGAGAAAGGACAACAACAAGAUAACAUUUGAUGAUAUGAGUACCUCUUAUGAACUUGAGGACGGAAACCCUCCCCAUGAUCAUGAAUUAGCAUUUGUGAGACUUGAGGAAAUAGCCCAAGCAACAGACAAUUUCUCCGAAACAUGUUUGAUUGGACAGGGAGGCUUUGGAAAAGUUUAUAAGGGAUUCUUAGGUGGUAAGGAAAUUGCUGUAAAAAGGCUAAGUAUGGAUUCUCAACAAGGAACGGAAGAAUUCAGGAAUGAAGUAAUUCUUAUUGCCAGACUACAACAUAGAAACUUGAUUCGACUUCUUGGAUAUUAUGGCGAGGGAGCUGAAAAGUUGCUGAUUCAUGAGUAUCUACCCAAUGGGAGCUUAGACGCUAACCUUUUUGAUGAUUCAAGGAAAAUGUUGUUGGAUUGGGAAACACGGUUUAGUAUAAUCAAAGGGGUCGCAAGAGGAUUGCUUUACCUCCACCAAGAUUCAAGAAUGACCAUAAUCCAUAGAGAUCUCAAAGCUGCAAAUGUUUUACUAUAUGCAGAAAUGAAACCCAAGAUAGCGGAUUUCGGUAUGGCAAGGAUCUUUUGCGAUAACCAGCAAAAUGCAAAUACCCAACAUGUUGUCGGAACAUUUGGCUACAUGGCUCCUGAGUAUGCAAUGGAAGGCAUCUUUUCUGCCAAGUCCGAUGUCUACAGCUUCGGCGUAUUACUACUAGAGGUUGUAACUGGUAUAAGGCGAAGCUUCAAUAGUCAACCCAUGUUAAUCCUUAACCUCAUAGUCUAUUCAUGGAAUAUGUGGAAGGAAGGGAAGACAGAGGCACUGUCAGACUCAUCUAUCAUGGAUACUUGUUCACCUGAUGAAGUUUCGCUUUGCAUCCAUGUAGCCCUCUUGUGUGUACAAGAGAACCCAGAUGACGAUAGGCCAUUGAUGUCAUCCGUUGUGUUCGUUCUAGAGAACGGAAGCACCACACUUUCGAACCCAAACCAACCCACCAACUUUGUUGGACGCAAUAUUGAAAUGGAGCGCAUAAGAGAUGAUAUUCAGCACUCUAUGAACAGUUUUACUCUUACCGAGAUACAGGGACGGUGA
rnacentral:rRNA from 1 species